CGCGUAGGCGGGAUGGCAAGUCGGUCGUGAAAUACCUUCGGCUCAACCGAAGAACGGUCGAUCGAUACUGCUGUUCUUGAGGAUUGCAGAGGAGACUGGAAUUCCCGGUGUAGCGGUGAAAUGUGUAGAGAUCGGGAGGAACACCGGUGGCGAAGGCGGGUCUCUGGGCAAUUCCUGACGCUGAGGCGCGAAAGCGUGGGGAGCAAACGGGAUUAGAUACCCCGGUAGUCCACGCUGUAAACGAUGACGACUAGGUGUGGGGGGGGUUCAGGUCCCCUCCGUGCCGCAGCUAACGCAUUAAGUCGUCCGCCUGGGGAGUACGGCCGCAAGGUUGAA
rnacentral:rRNA from 1 species